GAUGAACGCUAGCUACAGGCCUAACACAUGCAAGUCGAGGGGCAUCAUGGGGGUCGCUUGCGACCUCUGAUGGCGACCGGCGAAUGGGUGAGUAACGCGUAUCCAACCUGCCCCGCGCCCGGGGAUAGCCCUUGGAAAUGAGGAUUAAGACCCGAUACGUGGCGCCGCCGCAUGGCGGCUCCAUGAAACAGACGCGGGAUGGGGAUGCGUUGGAUUAGCCAGCCGGCAGGGCAGCGGCCUACCGGGGCGACGAUCCAUAGGGGUUCUGAGAGGAAGGUCCCCCACACUGGCACUGAGACACGGGCCAGACUCCUACGGGAGGCAGCAGUGAGGAAUAUUGGUCAAUGGGCGAGAGCCUGAACCAGCCAAGUAGCGUGCAGGAUGGACGGCCCUACGGGUUGUAAACUGCUUUUGCGGGAGAAUAACCGGCGCCACGGGUGGCGCCCUGCAUGUAUCCCGCGAAUAAGGACCGGCUAAUUCCGUGCCAGCAGG
rnacentral:rRNA from 1 species